rnacentral:rRNA from 1 species
AGAGUUUGAUCCUGGCUCAGACGAACGCUGGUGGCGUGUCUUAUACAUGCAAGUCGAGCGGGGCAGCAAUGCCCAGCGGCGAACGGGUGAGUAACGCGUAAGCAAUCUGCCCCAUAUCAGGAAAUACCCGUGCCAACGCGCGGUUAAUGUCCAGGAGCGUGGCCUCCGCAUGGGAGGUUGACAAGAGAUUUUAUCGGGUAUGGGAUGAGCUUGCGUCCGAUUAGCUAGUUGGCGGGGCAACGGCCCACCAAGGCGACGAUCGGUAGCCGGCCUGAGAGGGUGAUCGGCCACAUUGGGACUGAGAUACGGCCCAGACUCCUACGGGAGGCAGCAGUAGGGAAUAUUGCACAAUGGGGAAACCCUGAUGCAGCAACGCCACGUGUGGGAAGAAGCAUUUCGGUGUGUAAACCACUGUCGUGAGGGAAUAAGGCGUCUUCUCGGAGACGUUGAAUGUACCUCGAAAGGAAGCACCGGCAAACUUCGUGCC